UACAGAGGUCUCGAGCGUUGUUCGGAUUCAUUGGGCGUAAAGGGUGCGUAGGUGGCGCUGUAAGUCGGGUGUGAAAUCCUGGGGCUUAACCCCGGAACUGCAUUCGAUACUGCAGUGCUUGAGGACUGGAGAGGAGACUGGAAUUCAUGGUGUAGCAGUGAAAUGCGUAGAGAUCAUGAGGAAGACCAGUGGCGAAGGCGGGUCUCUGGACAGUUCCUGACGCUGAGGCACGAAGGCCCGGGGAGCAAACGGG
rnacentral:rRNA from 1 species